UUGGUUCUCCUCUCUGUAUUUUCUUUUUAAAGAAGAUAUCAAGAUAAUAAGGAUAUCAAAGGACAAAUAUGACCCAGAAUAUCUUUGUUUCAACAUGUACUUGGACAGAAAAACUGGAAUGAGGAUGGCCCUUACUUCACACCGAGGCCCCUGUGUGUGCCUCCUGUGUGCCCACAGCACAGAGGGCUCGCCAGUAUCACACCAGCACUCUGGACCCAGUGGGUUCACUUGCCACCUGCAGGCCGUGAGGUCUCCAAGACCAGGAUGGUCUCAGUUCUGUGCACCCAUAUCCCUCUCACACACAGCAAACAUUAAUCAUUGUAGCUGGAUGAUACCUGGCCCUGUGGGCAGCCAGGCAGCCUUCCCACUUGUGUUCUGGGGCUUACACAAAGAUAAACCUGUGCUGGUCAGCUUGCCCCGCUCCAGCUAAUCUGAACUCAGGGAUGGAUGACACAGACCUGUUGUUCCCAUAGAGCUUCAAAUCCAGCCUAGGACAGAAUCUGGAGGUAGAAACAAACAGAAACCACUGUGAUAGGUGUUACCAGGAAGUGGCCGAAGCUCUCACAGACUCCCGCAGCAUGUAAACUCAUGUUUCCAUGGGCCUCCUUCCCCACAUGCUGGUUAUGUGGCCUCCCUGAGUUAUAGGAGGCCUGUUGCACACUCUAUAAGGAUGUGUUCUUUCCAUCCUUAUUUUAAUUUGUAACCAGACAUGAAAAGGCUGGUUCCCAGGACUUAAAAUAUCUUCAAAAUACAAAUUGGCUCCAAAAUACAAAGAGAGCAUUGUAAACUAUAAAUAAGUGUUUUAUCCACAGAACACAGCACUAGCUGAGAUGAAGUUCAGUGCACCUUGCCCACUUUUGUGAUGUCUGUAAUGAGCAGGCGUUGAAAUGCCUCUUAAAAAUCAAAGCGUGUUAAUGCUCACAGACCACACGAGAACCAGCACUGCAACCCUCACUUAACAGAUGGGGAAACUAAAUAAGAGGGGUUAUGGAACUUGGACAACAUGACAGUCAAGAAGUGGCUGAUCUAGGACUUGAACCGAAGCAGUCUGGCUCACUGUCCCCACAGCCCUGUGCCAUCUGACAUCCAUUAUCUAUGGGUGCUGAUCCAGGCUCACUGCCCCCACAGCACUGUGCCAUCUGACACCCAUUAUCUAUGGGUGCUGAUCCAGGCUCAGGCUGCCGGGUGUAGGGAGAGCAGAGGACGCGAUGUAUAAGCCCAGCCUCUUGCUUGCUGGGAGCUGGGAUUUGUGUAGGACUCUUUAGUGAGGUGGCAACAUUGAGACUUUAUAAAGUUUACUUUUCCCACUUUCUAAAGUUCAUGCAUGACCUGUCCAGUCAUUCAGGCUGCCGAGCAAAGGAGCAUGGAUUCUGGGGCUGCUGGGUACAGCUCCAUGUCUGUUUGUCUGGUGGUUACAGUGCCAUUCAAGUUCCUGCUUUCUUACCGACCUUCUGUCUGGAUGUUGCACCCAUUAGUGACAGCGGGUGUUGAACUUUCAACUGUUAUUGCAGAACUGUCUAUUCUCCCUCGAUUCUGUCCACGUCUUCUUCAUGUCACUGACAGUGUUGGCUCAGAUCUGCAAGCCUCUGACUGUGCCGAGUCGUGACAACUGCUUGGGACAGUCCCUGCUCAUUCCCCAGGUCUCCGUGGACGGAUGAGGCGUGGAGCUGCCUUCUCCACCAUUCCAAACCUGGGUCUCCCAAGGACCUUCUGACACAGAGGUCACCGGACUGGAAGGGAAAAUGGCGCCUAUGGCAUCGGCACGCCCUCGACUGGAAGCCUGUUCAAUCGCUUCAUGAGAGCAGAUGGGCCCUGUGCUGACUCACCUCCAGUCUCCACCCGCUGAGACUGUCCCUCCACCUUCCAAUAAAACAAAAGCUGGUUGUUUGCUCUGCUGAUGAGCAUGAAGAUAUUUUAAGGUUGUGGGUUCCGCCAUCUUUGUCAUCUAUGUCUGCCUGUCAAUUAAGUGACCUUGGCCCCAUUGAGUUGUUUUUAAUCCUUAGAAAGCAGUGGAAUGUCUCCUUUAUUUUAAAAUGAAAUCUCCUAUGAACCCUGCAACAUGAAAUAAAGGAGACCGAGCUCCACUGCGGAGGUCCCUGCGUGCGUGAGCAGCAGGUGGAGAGGCCGUUCAUUCACAGCCUAUCCCGUGUGGCCCUCCCCGCACCCAGGCGGAUGCACGCCCUCGGGCUCCGGGCCAGGCUGCUGGCCACACACCACUGUGCUGUGGUGGAGACCGGUCCUGCUGAGGCUGGAGGACACGGCCUCUGUGUCUCCCGGGGCUCCUCAGCGCCCGCACUCUGAGACUGCUUCCUGGGAUUAAAGACGAGCCAUCCACGGGGGCGCGGCUCGUGCGUGUCCCUCACCAGUACCUGAAGGAGCCUGACAGGGAGGGACCAUUUCACUACUCUGCCAGGAAGAGAUCAUCAAGUACUUUGUGAACAGGACUGUGUUGGUGGUCGCUGAAAACAUCCAUAUCUCAGGCCACCCCAGCAUCCUUAGGCCCCUCCGUCCGUUUCCUCCUCCAUCAUUACUGCUUCCAGCCCCCGUGACAGUUCUCUUUAGAGCUGGGCAGUUGUCACCAAUGCUAUUGGUGCAACAAAAUAUAACUGAAUAAAUCCUGAAUUUCUUCCCUGUUCAAGGUACUGCGGGAGGGACUGUGGAGGCUGCGAAGAUGGUAAAGAAGAUAGUCCCCCCCGUAAAGAACACUUAUUAUUCUGACAGGGGAGACAAUUCACGUAAAUUUGUGCUGCAAAGCAAGUCAAUGCACCAGAAUGUAUGGAGGUGCUACAGAAUGAGAAGGCGAAGGAAUAGCCCCUCACUGCCUUGGCCUUCAGGACAUAACCCUGCCCAAGAAGAAAGCAGCCCAUAACAGGUUGGUGACAGGGGAAUGUGC